AUGCCCAGGUGGAGAGAAAGCUCAAUGGGGGAUGGGGAAUCUGCAGACUGGGUUUCUGGUGCCUUCCUGAUUGACAAAGAAUUAUUGAUUCAGCAGCAGAGCUCUCUGCCAGUUCUCUCCUCCCCCUCCCCCACUGCAUCCUGUUUCCUCUCAACGGCUGUUUGUCUUGCCAGAAACCAGUUUGGAAAAGCUGAGCAGAUUAAAGCAGAGGGGAAAAUGGAUGACGGAGGUCUGAAAUGAUUUGCAACAAAAUCCUGUUGAACAUUGGGCAAUACCAGGAGGGAUGAGCUGAAGUGCAGAUGAGAAGCGCAGUAAGGAAAGUAACUGAAAUACUUCCCAGAUGGAUUGUAUUUUCCAAAUGGACAGCCUAACCUAAUUCUCAAUUACUGAGGGACAAUCUUUUCUCGUUGAUAUUUUGCUUUCCACAACUACACCUCUGUACAACUUUUCAUGAGUGAUGUACCUGAAUACUUGGAUGCUAAUAUCUAAACUAUAUUCUUAAAUUUAUUCACCUAAGUUUUGGUUAUUGCUGAUUAUGUACUAUAUGUAUCAUAUGACUUUUUUAAAAUUAAACUUUGUAUUUGUGGAUAAUCUAAGCACUAUCCCAGAUGUACAGACACACUUUUGAGAUAUAUAUAUGUAUGUAUAUAUAUAUACAUCUAUAUCUAUAGGUAUAGAUAUAGAUAUAUACACACACACACACACAUUUUUACUAAUAUGUGUGAACAAACAAUUCUUACUAAAAACAAAGACAUUAUAAAUGUUGCUUUUGCCUAAACCAAAUGGGCUUGUUAGUAUAAUAGAAACUGGUAAGAGCAGUUAAAGAGUUACUGAGCAUGGUGAGAAUGUAAUAUAUGAGUGCACACUUGAAGACUGCCACACCUCCUUAUCUCAAAGCAAGGUCAAGCAACGAGUCGGGAGGGGCAAGGGUUUUUAAAAAAUCUUUACACGGAAUCUGAGUGAAAAUAUUUACAGUAAAUAACAAAAUGCCUGGAAUUUAAGUCUCCUGUGGCAGCUAAUGUUUGCAUGUUGACAGAGAUGUAAGUCGUUUACUGGAAGCUGGGGAGUUCAGGAACAAAGAUUUGCAAGAAGAAUUCGGAAGAUUCUCUUUUCUUUGCAAAUGUGAUUUUAAUGUUUGUUUCUCCUUGAGUCAGUAAAAAUGGAAUUAAUCUUUACCCUCCUGACUUGGUGUGUAGCAGCAAUUGUUUAAAAAGGCUAAAACUGCAGUUCUUACAUGGUAAAAACUGUGACUUAAUUUCAUAACCAUUGUGAAUGUGCUUGCAAUUUUGCCAUUAAAAGAAUGAGAAAUUAAAAUCUAAUGCUAGUGUGCUUUACUGCAUGAUAAAUAAAAGGCUCUGAUCUACCCUUCCUGAUUUUUCA
rnacentral:lncRNA from 1 species